GGCACAUGAUGAUUUAUUUUCACGACGGUCUUCUUAGAGUUAGCCUUGCUGAAAUCGCCUGAAGGCAAUAUCUGAUGUCUUCUU
rnacentral:snoRNA from 1 species